rnacentral:lncRNA from 1 species
GCGACUACUGCGCUUAACUGCGACUACUCUUAACAUCGGCGCACGUGCUUUGGACCAAAGCGGAGCACUUUCUGUGCGUGUAAAGCUGAGUGCCUUUCAAGGAAGACAUCCAUAAAGCUGCUUCAGAAUGGACAAGGCUACGCUUUCCGUCGUCAUUAUGUGUGCCUGUCUUGCUACUGCUGCAGCAAACCCGACUCGACAAGUCGCCGAAGCAGAGUUAGAUGGGUGGAGCUUUUUAGAAACAGGAGUGACUCUCCACGUCAUCGCGAGGAAUUAUGACCCAUUGGGAAAUAAUGUAUCGGACUGCCUAACAACCACAACCAUUAAGAAGGAAAACAGGAACCAUGCAGCGACACAAAUCGUGAAGUUCUGGAACCACAAGGC